CCAGACGGUUUUUGCACUCUUCUGAUAUAGUAUUGACAGCCUGCCUGCCUCCUGUGGAUGUCAAAGCCAAGGUCAAGGCCAAGGGAAGUGAACAAACUGUCAACCUAGCAUAAGAAAACAGGUGCGAAAUGUGAAGUCAAGAGGACUCAGUGAAUUUCCCGUGUUCAUUUGUUUUAUUCAACAUCUCUAUAAUGUACUAGGUCACUCUGUGCAGCUCUGGAGGGGAUGGCAAUCCACUUCAGACACGCCACCAAAGCUGUAGAGGCUUCAUUCAAAAUUACAUAGAAGUUAACACUGACCUCCAUUGAAACUGCAAAGACCUAGUGCAACCUUUCCUGGAAGCACUAACUAUGUGCAGGAUUUUUGAGAGUUUGAGGCCAUCUCCAGACAGAGAUCAGCAGAAACACAAGGGCAUUGGAAAGGCUGAGCAGGUGAGACUGGAUGAGAAGAAGGAGGAAGAUGGAAAGGAUUCUGAGGCCCAUUCAGGAUAGCUCUGCCUGAGUUGAAAAGUGUCUUGAAAAGAAAAGUACAAAAAUAUUCUGCUCUACUUUCCAGGUUCUAUAUAUCUCUGAAUAGCUAAUCACGAUGUUGCUUUCUUCCUGUAUUAAUGCCAUAAUUAUAUGCUUUUCUAUAUAUGGAGGACAUUAGUUGGGUGUUUUUUUCCCCUAAUUCUAUCUCUGUACAUCUCUAUAUAUUCAUGUCUAUAUAUCCAUCUCCAUGUCUAUAUUGUAUGUCUCUAUAUGUACAUAUAUGUGAACACGUCUAUCAUCUAUCUACCUAUCUAGUUAGCUAUCUAGCUAUCUCCCUAUAUAUAUUGGUGGAAUCCUUAUUGGAGUACUUCACUUAUCAUAUAGAUGUAUCAAGAUUUGUGCAGCAUGCUCUGAGAAUGGCUUCCUGAGAAUGGGGUGAAAGCAUAUUCAACUGCUCGGUUCAGAAUAUUUACUGGUACUGUCAUUUCUUCUGCAUUCAUUUUCCACUA